AGAGAGACACAGAAUGUUAGAGAGAGACAGAGUGUUAGAGAGAGACACAAUGUUAGAGAGAGACAUAAUGUUAGAGAGAUAGACUGUUAGAGAGAGACACACAAUGUUAGAGAGAGAGUCACAAUGUUAGAGAGGGAGACACAGUGUUAGAGAGAGACACAAUGUUAGAGAGAGACACAAUGUUAGAGAGAGAGACAAAGUGUUAGAGAGAGACAGAAUGUUAGAGAUAGAGACACAGAAUGUUAGAGAGACAGAAUGAAUGUUAAAAAGACACAGAAUGUUAGAGAGAGACAGAAUGAAUGUUAGAGAGAGAGUGAGAGAUAGAAUGUUAGAGAGAGACAGAUUGUUAGAGAGAGACAGAGUGUUAGAGAGAGACUGAGUGUUAGAGAGAGACAGAAUGUUAGAGAGAGAGACACACAGAAUGUUAGAGAGACAGAAUGUUAGAGAGAGACAGAAUGUUAGAGACAGAAUGUUAGCAAGUCAGAAUGAA